rnacentral:tRNA from 2 species
UGGGGCGUGGCCAAAUGGUAAGGCAAUGGGUUUUGGUUCUGCUAUUCGGAGGUUCGAAUCUUUCCGUCCCAG